rnacentral:rRNA from 1 species
AUUGAACGCUGGCGGCAGGCCUAACACAUGCAAGUCGAGCGAGCGGCGGGCGGGUGAGUAAUGUCUAGGACACUGCCUGAUGGAGGGGGAUAACUACUGGAAACGGUGGCUAAUAACGCAUACCAUCUGAUGUGCCCAGAUGGGAUUAGCUAGUAGGUGGGGUAAUGGCUCACCUAGGCGACGAGCCCUAGCUGGUCUGAGAGGAUGGCCGGCCACAAUGGAAAUGAGACACGGCCCAGACUCCUACGGGAGGCAGCAGGGGGGAAUAGUGGACAAUGGGCGCAAGCCGGAUGCAGCCAUGCCGCGUGUGUGAAGAAGGCCUUCGGGUUGUAAAGCACUUUCGGCGGAGAAGCGGUAUCCGCAGAAGAAGCACCGGCUAACUACGUGCCAGCAGCCGCGGUAAUAC